rnacentral:tRNA from 1 species
CCUAUAUUAGUUCAAUGGUGAGAACGGAGAGCUUAUAACUCUUUAAUGGUAGUUCGAUUCUACCAUAUAGGA